rnacentral:lncRNA from 1 species
CAGGCUGAUGAGCAAAUCCAGAACAAGUUGCAGGGCUCUUGAAUUGAUUUGCAGUUCUAUAAGAAUGCUGUGGAGAAGCAACAGAAGGAUGCUGUGAGACAAAAAUUGAAUACUAAUAAGCAGUAGACAAUCCAAUCCCACAAGGAAAUUUAGACCAAUGAAUUGGUGAAGGAUGAACAAUACCUCUACUGCAAGGGUAUCAAUUAUUUCAUCCAUUCUAGACAACUCCAUUUUGCUUCUCUGCCCAGUUGAAGUUUUCUUCUGAUUCUCUUGGAAGGCUUCCUUCUGUCCUUCCCAUACUUCGUCCUUGUAAUCAGUCCCAUCUGCCUGAAAGAGCAAAUGACGCGCAAAUACUAAAAUACAGGCUUCAUCACGUGUUGGCUGUUCUAUUGCAGCAAUGUCAAAUAUAACAAGAGAGUUACACUGUGGUUGAAAUCCAACGGAGAAUGAGGAUCGCCUAGGGUUUUGGAUGAGGAGAUUUGAAGAGGUUGGGGGAAGAAAAAAGAGGAGAGAGGAAAAGAAGAGAGAGAGAGAGAGAGAGAGAGAGAGAGAGAGAGAGAGAGAGAGAGAGAGAGNNNNNNNNNNNNNNNNNNNNGAGAGAGAGAGAGGAAGGUAUGUGAGCCCUGGUUUAACACCACCGCGUCUCCUCAACUCUGCAGAAGCACACUGCAGCACCCCACCAAAAUUGUGUGAGGGGCCAAUAAUAAGGGGGGCACAUCAGUCUUUUCGCGGUGUAGGGCAGAAAAUCAAUUGUGGGGACGAUAUCGUAGGUCUCGUAUGGAACCAAUUUAAUUGGCGACACGUAAGAAUAGGGUCUUUUUUGGUCGGGAACACUAUAGUGAGGUAUUCCGCGUUGUGCUAGAUCAUACCUUAGUGGGACCCACAAGCUCGGAGGGAGCUCAAAAAUUAGGCGGGAUAAACCCAAAACCUAGAAAGAGGGAGAUACUUGGGGCCCAUACGUGUGGGAGAUUCUCAUUUAUUAUGGGCCGGGUACAAAUUCCCGAAUUUUUAUUUAUUUGGUAAUUCAAGGGAGGGAGAUUAUGUGUUUCUAUUUUCUUUUCUUUUUUUGAAAUCGAUGUGUUUCUAUUUUCUAGUGUAUUGAAUCUAAACAUCGAUGGCUUCGAUCGUGUUGUCUAUUUACUAAUUUAGCUUUUAUCAUGUCAUUUUGUUGCGAUCUUACGGAUUUGCAAAUUGGCCAAGUUACUACCCAACUAUCAAAUAUUCUACUUUCCAUAUAACUUUUCCCACUAUAGUAACAAAUAUAUGCUAUGCACGUAAAGGUAUUUUG